rnacentral:rRNA from 1 species
GCGUUCCGUAAGCCUGUGAAGGUGAACUGUGAAGUUUGCUGGAGGUAUCGGAAGUGAGAAUGCUGACAUAAGUAGCGAUAAAGAAUGUGAGAAACAUUCUCGCCGAAAGUCCAAGGGUUCCUGCGUAAAGUUAAUCUGCGCAGGCUUAGUCGGCUCCUAAGGUGAGGCUGAAAGGCGUAAUCGAUGGGAAUCAGGUUAAUAUUCCUGAACCUGAGGGAUGUGACGGAGAUAGUAAAUUGUAUACGCUUAUUGGAUUGCGUGUGCGGUGAAUAUCUUCCAGGAAAUAACACCCUCGUUAAAGACCGUACCCCAAACCGACACAGGUGGACAGGUAGAGUAUACCUAGGCGCUUGAGAGAACGAUGCUGAAGGAACUAGGCAAAUUGCAUCUGUAACUUCGGGAGAAGGAUGACCUGUGAAUGGGCAACCAUUUAUAGGUGGCACAAACUAGGGGGUAGCGACUGUUUAUUAAAAACACAGGGCUCUGCAAAGUCAAUAGACGAAGUAUAGGGUCUGACGCCUGCCCAGUGCUGGAAGAUUAAGAGGAGGGGUGCAAGCUCUGAAUUGAAGUCCCAGUGAACGGCGGCCGUAACUAUGACGGUCCUAAGGUAGCGAAAUUCCUUGUCGGGUAAGUUCCGACCCGCACGAAUGGCGUAACGAUUUCCCCGCUGUCUCCAGUAUCGACUCAGCGAAAUUGAAUUCUCCGUGAAGAUGCGGAGUUCCCGCGGUUAGACGGAAAGACCCCGUGAACCUUUACUAUAGCUUUGCACUGGUAUUAGGAAUUAGAUGUGCAGGAUAGGUGGGAGACUAUGAAGCGGUGGCGCAAGCCACUGUGGAGUCACCCUUGAGAUACCACCCUUUUGAUUCUUGAUAUCUAACCGCGAUCCUUGAAUCAGGAUCCGAGACAAUGCAUGGUGGGUAGUUUGACUGGGGCGGUCGC